rnacentral:rRNA from 1 species
UACGGGGGGGGGCAAGCGUUGUUCGGAAUUACUGGGCGUAAAGGGCUCGUAGGUGGCCAACUAAGUCAGACGUGAAAUCCCCAGCUUACCUGGCUAACUGGCGUCUGAUACUGGAUGGCUUGAAUUCGGGAGAGGGAUGCAGAAUUCCAGGUGUAGCGGUGAAAUGCGUAGAUAUCUGGAGGAAUACCGGUGGCGAAGGCGGCAUCCUGGACCGACAUUGACGCUGAUGAGCGAAAGCCAGGGGAGCAAACGGG